CCUACGGGAGGCAGCAGUGGGGAAUAUUGCACAAUGGGGGAAACCCUGAUGCAGCGACGCCGCGUGAGUGAAGAAGUAUUUCGGGGUUGAAAGCUCUAUCAGCAUGAACGAGACAAGACUGUACCUGACUAAGAAGCCCCGGCCAACUACGUGCCAGCAGCCGAGGUAAUAAGUAGGGGGCAAGCGUUAUCCGGGAUCACUGGGGUUAAAGGGAGCGUAGAGGGCUGUGCAAGGCGUAGGGGAAAGGAGGGGGCCCACACCCCAGAAUGCUAUGGAUACUGUACGGCUGGAGUACAGUGGAGGUAAGUGGAAUAAGUAGUGUAGCGGUGAAAUGCGUAGAUAUUAGGAAGAACACCGGUAGCGAAGGCGGCUUACUGGACUGUGACUGACGUUGAGGCUCGAGAGCGUGGGGAGCAAACAGGAUUAGAUACCCCAGUAGUC
rnacentral:rRNA from 1 species